rnacentral:sRNA from 1 species
GUUUACAAUUGUUAUUA